rfam:Rattus norvegicus chromosome 3, whole genome shotgun sequence.
GGAUGUGAAGUGAUCUGGUGGAGAGGUCUGCCACCCCACUGACCACCAGGGUUGAUGUGGCUGAUAAUGUCAGUCAGCUAGUCAAUCAGUCAGUCAGCUAGUCAAUCAGUCAGUCAGCUAGGCAGUCAGCUAAGCCGAUGUCCCUUCCUUUCUUCCCACUCCAUGUGCAUCCCUCCCAAAGCUGUGCACCUGUCAGUGAGGACAACCUGCCUGGACAGAGGAACAUUCUUCGCUCAAGGGAACACAGGUAGCUGUGGUCCUCACCAGAACCUGCAGACAAGCUCUCAAGAAACCAAAGAUCAUAUGCAACAGAAUCCUAGCUUAAAGUCCCAAACCAGGCGACGCUG